AUAAUAAAUAAUAAUUUUAUUGUGUCUCUAGAGCCUUCGAUUCUGAUUCCAAAUCCCUCACACCUCCACUAUAUUUUACCCCCUCUCCCCUCCCCUUCACCUUCACCUUCACACUCCUCGAUUCCAUUUCUUCUCCAGGUCUUUUAAUUUACGCUCGCGUUUCGUUACCAACAUCGUUCGAUCAAUUCAUAAUGACUCAUAUCCUUUCUCAGAAAAAUCUUUAUUUCUUCUAUUAUUUGCUAUAAUUUUGAUCAAUUGAAGAUUAAGAAAAUAAUAAUUGAGAAAAAUUAGGGUUUUGUGAAUUUGAAUUUGUUUUUGUUUUUGAACUUAACUGAAGCUCACGUGGUAAUCAAAGAGAAAGAGAUCGUGAAAGAGCUCAAGCUAGAGCUAAUCAGAAAUCUAAACAAUCUAAGAAUGAUGGGUUAACACCUGAACAACGGAGAGAAAGGGAUGCAAAAGCAUUGCAAGAGAAAGCAGCAAGGAAAGCUGGACAACGUGCUGGAGGAAGCAAUAUGGGGGGUGGAGGCAAUAAUAAUAAUUAGGAAGUAUAGUUAAAUUGAAGGUGUAUCUAGGAAUUAAGGAAGGGAAGGGAAGAAGGAUUGUAAUUGUAGUGUAAUGGUUAUUUUGAUUUGACGAUGAUAUGGGUUUAUGGUUUUCAAAUCAUGUGCUAAUUUGUGUCAAAAAAAAGUCAUGUGCUAAUUAUGUGAUUUCUGAUAAACAAAUUUAUGUGUCGUUGUUGGCUUUUCAACCUUUUACUUGUUAUCUGAUUUCGAAUGCAAUUUGUAUUCGUGUUGUAGCA